CAGCCGCCACGGGAACACGUAGGGUGCAAGCGUUAAUCGGAAUUACUGGGCGUAAAGCGUGCGCAGGCGGUUAUAUAAGUCAGAUGUGAAAUCCCCGGGCUCAACCUGGGAACUGCAUUUAAGACUGUAUGGCUAGAGUGUGUCAGAGGGGGGUAGAAUUCCACGUGUAGCAGUGAAGUGCGUAGAUAUGUGGAGGAAUACCGAUGGCGAAGGCAGCCCCCUGGGAUAACACUGACGCUCAUGCACGAAAGCGUGGGGAGCAAACAGGAUUAGAUACCCGAGUAGUCCCUGUCUCUUAUAC
rnacentral:rRNA from 1 species